rnacentral:lncRNA from 1 species
GGAAGCGUAAUAAAAAUUUUGAUUAACAUCUCUUAAACAAUAAUCAAAACGUACUCAAAACAUGAAAGAACAAACUGACUAAAAGAGAUACUCGAAAUAAAAACUAUAAAUAUAACUAUAAAGUCUUUAGGCGUCCCCUUUGUCGUCUUCCUGCAGAACGUGCUCGGGAACAACGUUUUACUGAUCUGAAAUAGUUAAAUAAGAGAUGAGUUACACCAGCCCAGUAAAGACAUCACACUAUCUCACCGCCACGAAAGUAAAGGUGGGUAGAAAACAAAAAUGACCAAUGGAGCAUAAUUUAUAACAAACUCAUUUAUUAACAUAAAAACCUUUAUUAUCCACUUACCUCGGUGAGAUUUAUGAAAACAAUAUAUGAAAGCAAUAACAUUAUCAUCAUCAUGAAAUCAUAUAAACUUUAUAACAUAACACUUACCACGCCUUUGCAUUUCGAUCAUUAAACAACAUAUUUUCCUCUUUUACCAACCUACUAGUAUCCCUAGGGAUCCAUAAGGGGUCUCCACUACCCGUGAACUAUUAACAUUACAACCUGAUUCUAGCACCGUCCCCAUAAUCCGUCCGGUAUGGGCGCCAAAAUACCUAAAGUCUCCAUACCCCGUCCGGUAUGAGAGAUCACGUUCCUGGUAAGGUUCCCUACGGACCCGGUCCGUCCACCAUCUCUCAGGAUAUCUAGUCAGGCUGUCCACAUUAUCUAUUUAUCAAUUCACAUAACCCUUUUGCCUUUUUCCUUAAUCUCAAUCAUACAAUUCAGAUUUAUAUUAUAAAAAUAUAUCUAUAUUUGAUUUGAUACUAUUUAUUUAUUAAUAUAUGUAUAUAAUAAUUAAAAAUAUAAAAAAUAAUAAAAUAAAAAAUUCUAAAAAUACACACACUGAAAACUCUAUUUUAUCUCUUUUUUAUCUUAUUCCUUUCAUCUUCUUUAUAUUCCUUUAUCUUCAUCUUUAUCUUUACAUUCAAUCGUUUAGUGAAAAAGUUAUGAGCAACUUCGAUUUCACAAAUCGUAAAAUUAUCACUUUUUUUUGUAAUUCCUCACUUUGUUAUUCAACAGUAAUACAAUAUCUUUAUUUGUUAACUCGCGGUAUUAUUAUCUCAUUUGCGACUUCACACUCUAAUAUCACUCAGCAAUAAUACUGAGAAUGAUAUUGCUGAAUGAUACUAUUUUUCA